CACGUAGUUAGCCGGCGCUUCUUCUGCAGGUACCGUCACUUGCGCUUCUUCCCUGCUGAAAGAGGUUUACAACCCGAAGGCCGUCAUCCCUCACGCGGCGUCGCUGCAUCAGGCUUGCGCCCAUUGUGCAAUAUUCCCCACUGCUGCCCUCCCGUAGGAGUCUGGGCCGUGUCUCAGUCCCAGUGUGGCCGGUCGCCCUCUCAGGCCGGCUACCCGUCGUCGCCUUGGUGAGCCGUUACCUCACCAACAAGCUGAUAGGCCGCGGGCUCAUCCUGCACCGCCGGAGCUUUCCACCCAGAGACCAUGCGGUCCUGGGUCGUAUCCGGUAUUACGACCCCGGUUUCCAGGGCUUGUCCCAGAGUGCAGGGCAGAUUGCCCACGUGUUACUCACCCGUUCGCCACUAACUCCACCCCCGAACGGGGUCUUCAUCGUUCGACUUGCAUGUGUUAAGCACGCCGCCAGCGUCGUCCUGUAGCCAGGACGUCUAAACUCUCUCGAGACGUCGCCGAAC
rnacentral:rRNA from 1 species